rnacentral:lncRNA from 1 species
UCAAAUGCAAAGAAUUUGGAGGUUGGGCGUGGUGAAACUACUUCAUUUCCUUUGAAAUUUCUUUAUCUUUGGUAUAGAAAUGAGCAACUCGAUGUUUGCUUACUCAUCCACCCAGUCAGAGAAGAGAAGAACGAAAUCCACAGUUAGAAUAGCUGUCUUCACGUGUGUCUUUUUCUGACAGCCAGACAAACUGUUCCCAGCCACCCAGGAAAACAUCUAAAAUUCUUCCCCUUCUAUAAGAAAGCGACGCCUGUACAGUGACCGCAACUCGCAAGGCAAGCAUACUUGUUCCCACUAAAGACUGCAAAGGAACAACUGCUUCUCACUAAGUUUCCUUACUCCUUUUCUCCUUUUCUAAAUCCAUCUUCACCCAACCACUUUUCUUAGCCGUUACAUGUCCCUGAGUUUGUGUCUGUAUGCCCUUAUAUUGGAGAAAUAUCCCAUGAGUAAACUUGUCAUGCACCCUUAACACCAAGCUGCUGCACCUGCAGCUGAGCCAGCUCCCUGCUCAACUGGCAGUGCAGUGACACAGGCUGGCGAUAUUACCACGGAGCACGAACUUCUUAUGAGACAGACAGAGAAAACCUUUUCAGAACCAUGGCAAGCCAAGAAGAAGCAAAGAGAAUGUAUGUGCCAGACAUGGCUUGCAAACUCCCAAUAUGAGCACCUGCUGUUGACAUUUGGAGAUCCACCCUAAAGACAAGUGCGAAGCCAUGAGGAAUAAACUGACAUAGGAACCCUGUUUUGUUAAUAUUUUUUAAAAUGAUAUAUCUGACUAACUACAUCUGCUUCUCACCAAGGUUUCGAAAAUGGUUUACAAACACAGGAGUCAUUUUUUAACAGGGUUAUAGUGAAACGAUUGGGACUGGAUCAUGAUCAUUCUCAAGCUUGAAAUGAUUGACGUAGAGAGCCUGAGAGAUAUGGAACUGUCUAAGGAGUGAUAUGUUUAAUUGAAUAUACAUAUUUAGAAUGUUGUGUAAAGAUACAGGUGUGUAUACACACACACACAUGCAGGUUUGGAACCUCACCUUUGAGAUUUCACUGUUUCCCAUUGGACUUUAUACCAUAGCAAAUGUGUGAAUGUGAAAAUUUCUCCUCCUUCUCUUAGUAUCUUAGCAAGAAUUUCUACUUCAGUGCUUUCCGGAAUGAUUCCUUCAGGUGUAAACUUACGAUUUUUAGAGUUUUUCGAAAUCAAACAUCUAAGAAAUGUAGCAUCUGAACAAUGGAAGUUUUUCAGUGGAAGUAUUGUUUGGACUUUUUUUUUCCAGGAUUUUUGUUUCUUACCAUGCAAAGUGUUCCUCAAAACAACUGAAAUGCAACAGAUAAGGGGUGUGUAGAUCAUUCCAAAAUACUAAGAAACCUGAGCUUCAUGUCUAAGAGUUUCCAUAAACUUGGUGGUGUUUAUGAGCCUAGGAAGCUGUGCUGGCUGAGUUGUACACCUGUUGAAAUAAGGACAUUGGCUCCCCACAAGAGUCUCUUGAUUUAGAAAAUAACAGUUCAUGUUAUCAUCCACUGUAAAGUAAACGAUACUGUGACAUUUUACACUUGAUUUUGGAAGCCCAUGAGGAUAACAGCACUCAGCUGUUUACAAUGACUGUUUUCUCCUCAAAUGUAUCCAGAGGUUUGCUUUGAACCAUAGGAAGCUAUUAACAAUUUUGGAACAAUUUUGGCCAAAACUUUUCUCUGGAUCUUAUUUUUUUUUCUUUUAAGAUUUAUUUUCUUUUUAAUACUGUGAGGCUGGGGGAGGGAACAUAGGCUUAUGGGUGCAGGUGCCCACAGAAGCUAGAAGGUUUCUGAUACCCUGGAGCUAGAGUCACAGCUGGCUGUGAAGUGUCCCACACCAGUGCUCAGAACCAAGUUCACAGCUGGCCUCAUUCCUCCUUUUAACACAAAAUGAUCUAAGAACCUCGAUAUGUUAGGAGUGUCUCAGACACAAGAGGGAAGAUGCCCAAUGACACGAGGGAAACACAAAUUUACCGAAGCAACCAAAUUGUCUCACAACAACUAUCUGUGUCUCUCUGUGACUCUCUAUGUCUCUCUGUGUCUGUCUAUGUCUCUCUGUCUCCUCUGUGUGUCUGUCUGUCUGCCUGUGUGUGUGUGUAUUCCUCUCUCCAUCUCUGUCUCUGUCUCUCUGUUUCUGUCUGUCUCUCUCUCUGUUGCUUUCUUUUCUCUCUCUCUCCAUCUCCAACUCCAUCUCUGUCUCUCUAUCUCUGUGUCUGCUCUCUCUGUUUGUCUCUCCAUCUUCAUCUCUGUCUCUUUGUGUGUCUGUCUGUGUUUGUGUGUGCGUGAGUGUGUAUGUAUGUGUGCAUGUAUGUAUACCUGUAGGCUUUGGAUGGUUAGGAUAGUGUCUUAUAUUCAAGUGCUUUCUCCACUGUAUCUUUAGGAAUGGUUCUUUCAUUGAACCAAGAAGAUACCAGCAAACCCCAAGAAUCUUCCUGUCUCUGUUUUCCCAGUGCUAGAUUGUAGAUGUGUCUGUGGGUUUUAUUCAUGUUAGAGUUUCAAAUUCUGGUCCUCUUGUUUUUACAGAACCAGUUUGUCAACUGAACUUUACCCUUAGCUCAUCGCUGCUAAGGCCAACAUAAUGGAGGUCAGAACUUAUUGUUCUUACGUCUACAAAAGCUAACCAUUUAUUUCCCCUUUUUGUUCUUAAAAAAAAAAAAAAAAGACACAUAUAAAUCAAUCAAAAGCCAAUAGCUGGGGGAAAAAAAAACUACUGGUAAUGUGGAAUAUAAUUGCAACCAGUUCAAGUGAUGAUUAAAAAAUAAAUGUGCUCCUAGCAUCCUCUCAACGGCUGUGUCCCCCACAGUCCAGUGCUUGCGGCUCGCCAUCAUCCUCCAGUCUAUUCUUGGUUGUGGAUUCCCCUGUGCUCCUUGUGCACUUUAAGUUUAAUUUUGCAUUUAAAAACUCAAUUGGCUCAUCUGUUAAGCAUUAAGCAGCUCCCUUUUGAGCCACAGGGGGAGCCCUGGGAAAACCCACAGCUGCUAGAACAUGGAAAAUGGGUUUAAAAAAACAAAACCAUUUUGGAACUUUAAAGCAUUUUAGCAGCCGUGAAUUUCCCAGUUCUUACCCCCCAAAUGGUUCAUCUGUUUAACUUUUAUCUGGUAUUAGAAAGCACAAACCAGCACAUUGAAUAGCCCUCAAAUGAGUUUUUGCUUAGUACAAAAUGAAAGUAAAAGCUAAAGGCAGCCCUGUGGGAAGAUCUUUCAGAGAGCUAUGGACUGAAAUACCUUCAAGCAUAUUCUCCCUCCUGUCACAGACACCAUUCUGAAGCUCAGUCAUGCCUUCUGACAGCUAACUUUUCUUCUACUCACUUAGGCACCCACCCCCACCCAGUCCCCCUCCCCCAAAAAGAAAAACUCUAAAUCAAACAGCAAAUCCCAGAGUAUAAAUGACAAUAACAAUGCUGCAAAGUUAAUAGGCUGAGUGUAUUAAUGAAAAGCUCAAUCAGGAUUUUCAGUUUUGCAAUGAAUAGUCACUGACUGAAAAAUUGAUGUUUUCUUACAGCUGGAUAGACUCUAGAUAAAGGCAAGUUCUUCUUUUUGUAUGUAGCCCCCAAAUCUUUCCUAAGCAGCCCAAAGAAAGCCUCACUGACUUACAGCUCAAAGUGUCCUUGUUAAAGGCCAUUUUAUUUGCAUCAUGGCAUGAUACUCCUUUUGAAAUAAAAGGAUCUUUUCGUGGAUAAUGACUGUAAAGCAAUCAUUUACUAUUGAUGACUAAUACAAGUAAUAGCAGGCAAAGCCAAGUUAUAGCUUAGAAAGAACAGAAUUUUCAGAAGGCACUGGAAUCCAAGACUGAUGGGACAUGCGACAAGAAGCUUAGUGGACUCCAGGAAGACAAACAAAGGUUCUGGGCUCUAGAACUGGAAAAAGAUGCCUGUACUGAGUUCCAGUCAAAGUUUCUCCUAGCUAAGUGUAUGGGAGGGAAACAACGAUGGUUAAAGGGGACUGCUCACAGGAAAUGUAUGAAAAUGUCAACAAAGUCCUUUAAUUCAUUUUGUGGAUCUGUCCCUGAUGAGGCUCAUAGAAUCCUCCUAUAUAAUCUUCAUUUUUAAACUCAUGAUGCUUUAUUAAUCUAGAUUGGAGGAAUGCAUGCAAUCUAGAAUAAAACUCAGCUAGUACACUUCAUUCUCACAUCCAAUAGCAGAUCCAAGUAUAAAAUUAAUAGUUUUUGAUAAUAAUCUAAUUUUUAUAAUGAAACUUCUUUUAUGAGAUGUUAGAUAUACAAUUAGGGUAGAAAUGAGAUCGUUCGUGAAGACUGUGCUCAUAGAAAAUUCUCUAUUCAUUGUAAAACAAAUAUGUUUUCAAAGUCCUCAAAUUCCAUUUAUUUCAUUUUCCCCUUCUUUCACCCUGUAAACUCUCCAGCAUUUCUAUGAGCUGUAUGUAUAUCUGAAUAUCUAUAGAUGAAGACACGGUGUAAUAGUGGAAGGAAAUGGAUUAGCCACAAUUUAUGAUGCUACAAAAAAUUCAACACUAUAUCCCACAUUAGGUGGGGGCAAAUAUGCUUUGUUUUAUUAUUUAACUUUUUUAGUGUAACUUUAAAUUUUCAGAUAUAUUAUAAAUUAAAUAAAAAAUCCUUCACUCUCCCCCCAAAAAUUCAAAAUACUUUUAAAAAGGUACAUAUUAAAGUAUAUGAAAAAUUGCAGGAAUCAAGUAGUUAUAUCAUAUACCCCCAAGCCAGAAAAUUACGAAGACAAGAAAUGUGUAUAUUUUAGUUUGAAAGUAUCUGAAAGGGAACUGAAGAGGUUGCUCAGUGGUUAUGAGUGAACAUUGAAUCUCUAUCAUAUACACAUAUUAUUUUCUAUUCAUUGCUUCUCAACCUUCCUAAUGCUGUGACCCUUUAAUACAGUUCCUCAUGCUGAGCCAUUUUCAUUGCUACCUCCUAGCUCUAAUUUUGCAUCUGUUGUGAUAUUAUUAUCUUCUUCUAAUGUAAGUAUCUGGUUUUUAAAAAUUUAUUUAUUUUAAAUUAGGUAUUUUCUUCAUUUACAUUUCAAAAUCUGUCCCAAAGGUCCCCCAGACACUCCUCCCCACUCCCCUACGCACUCACUCCCACUUCUUAGCCCUGGCAUUCCCCCAUACUGAGGCAUAUAAAGUUUGCAAAACCAAGGGGCCUCUCUUCCCAAUGAUGGCCAACUAGGCCAUCUUCUGAUACAUAUGCAGCUAGAGACACGAUCUCCGGGGUACUGGUUAUAUUGAUAUUCCACCGAUAGGGUUGCAGACCCCUUUAGCUCCUUGGAUACUUUCUCUAGCUCCUCCAUUGGGGGCCCUGUGAUCCAUCCAGUAGCUGACUGUGAGCAUCCACUUCUGUGUUUGCCAGGCCCCAGAAUAGCCUCACAAGAGACAGCUAUAUCAGGGUCCUUUCAGCAAAAUCUUGCUGGUGUAUGCAAUGGUGUCAGCGUUUGGAGGCUGAUGGAUCCCCUGGUAUGGCAGUCUCUAGAUGGUCCAUCCUUUCGUCUCAUCUCCUAACUUUGUCUCCUUCCGUGGGUGUUUUGUUCCCAAUUCUAAGAAGGGGCAAAGUGUCCACACUUUGGUCUUCGUUCUUCUUGAGUUCCAUGUGUUUUGCAAAUUGUAUCUUGUAUCUUGGGUGUUCUAAGUUUCUGGGCUAAUAUCCACUUAUUAGUGAGUACAUAUCAUGUGAGUUCUUUUGUGAUUGGGUUAUCUCAUUCAGGAUGAUGCCCUCCAGGUCCAUCCAUUUGGCUAGGAAUUUCAUAAAUUCAUUCUUUUUAAUAGCUGAGUAGUACUCCAUUGUGUAAAUGUACCACAUUUUCUGUAUCCAUUCCUCUGUUGAGGGGCAUCUGGGUUCUUUCCAGCUUCUGGCUAUUAUAAAUAAGGCUGCUAUGAACAUAGUGGACCAUGUGCCCUUCUUACCAGUUGGAACAUCUUCUGAAUAUAUGCCCAGGAGAGGUAUUGCAGGAUCCUUUAGUAGUACUAUGUCCAUUUUUCUGAGGAACGGUCAGACUGACUUCCAGAGUGGUUGUACAAGCUUGCAAUCCCACCAACAAUGGAGGAGUGUUCCUCUUUCUCCAAAUCCUCACCAGCAUCUGCUGUCACCUGAGUGAUUGAUCUUAGCCAUUCUGACUGGUGUGAGAUGGAAUCUCAGGGUUGUUUUGAUUUGCAUUUCCCUGAUGAUUAAGGAUGUUGAACAUUUUUUUCAGGUGCUUCUCAGCCAUUUGGUAUUCCUCAGGUGAGAAUUCUUUGUUUAGCUCUGAGCCCCAUUUUUAAUGGGGUUAUUUGAUUUUCUGGAGUCCACCCUCUUGAGUUUUUAUAUAUAUUGGAUAAGAUUCCCCUAUCUGAUUUAGGAUUGGUAAAGAUCCUUUCCCAAUCUGUUGGUGACCCUUUUGUCUUAUUGAAGGUGUCUUUUGCCUUACAGAAGCUUUGAAAUUUUAUGAGGUCCCAUUUGUCAAUUCUCGAUUUUACAGCACAAGCCAUUGCUGUUCUAUUCAGGAAUUUUUCCCCUGUGCCCAUAUCUUCAAGGCUUUUCCCUACUUUCUCCUCUAUAAGUUUCACUGUCUCUGGUUUUAUAUGGAGUUCCUUGAUCCACUUAGAUUUGACCUUAGUACAAGGAGAUAGGAAUGGAUCAAUUCGCAUUCUUCUACAUGAUAACCGCCAGAUGUGCCAGCACCAUUUGUUGAAAAUGCUGUCUUUUUUCCACUGGAUGGUUUUAGCUCCCUUGUCAAAGAUCAAGUGACCAUAGGUGUGUGGAUUCAUCUCUGGAUCUUCAAUUCUAUUCCAUUGGUCUACUUGUCUGUCGCUAUAACACUACCAUGCAGUUUUUAUCACAAUUGCUCUGUAGUACAACUUUAGGUCAGGCAUGGUGAUUCCACUAGUGGUUCUUUUACCAUCAAGAAGAGUUUUUGCUCUCCUAGGUUUUUUGUUAAUCCAGAUGAAUUUGCAAAUUGCCCUUUCUAAUUCGUUGAAGAAUUGAGUUGGAAUUUUGAUGGGGAUUGCAUUGAAUCUGUAGAUUGCUUUUGGCAAAAUAGCCAUUUUUACUAUAUUGAUCCUGCCAAUCCAUGAGCAUGGGAGAUCUUUCCAUUUUCUGAGAUCUUCUUUAAUUUCUUUCUUCAGAGACUUGGAGUUCUUUUCAUACAGAUCUUUCACUUCCUUAGUUAGAGUCACACCAAGGUAUUUUAUAUUAUUUUUACUAUUGAGAAGGGUGUUGUAUCCCCAAUUUCUUUCUCAGCCUGUUUAUUCUUUGUGUAGAGAAAGGCCAUUGACUUGCUUCAGUUAAUUUUAUAUCCAGCCCCUUCACCGAAGCUGUUUAUCAGGUUUAUCAGGUUUAUCAGGUUUAGGAGUUCUCUGGUUGAAUUUUUAGGGUCAAUACCAUCACCUGUUUGAUUGUGUCUUCCUGUUUUUCUUUAAGGACUUAUGCCUCUUUAGCAGUGUUCUCCUGUAUUUCUUUAAGUGAGUUAUUAAAGUCCUUCUUGAUGUCCUCUAUCAUCAUCAUGAGAUAUGCUUUUAAAUCUGGGUCUAGCUUUUUGGGUGUGUUGGGGUAUCUAGGACUGGCUGAGGUGGGAGUGCUGGUUUCUGAUGAUGAAGAGUGGUCAUUGUUUCUGUUAGUAAGAUUCUUACAUUUGCCUUUCGCCAUCUGGUAAUCUCUGGAGUUAGUUGUUAUAGUUGUCUCUGGUUAGAGGUUGUUCCUCCCGUGAUUCUGUUAGCCUCUAUCAGUAGACCUGGAAGACUAGAUCUCUACUGAGUUUCAGUGGUCAGAGUACUCUCUGCAGGCAAGUUCUCCUUUUGCAAGGAAGGUGCACAGAUAUCUGGCUUUCAGAUCUGCCCCUGGCAGAAGAUGAAGGCCCCGAAACAGGGCCUGUCCCAGAAGCUGUGUCACUUCUGCCUGCCCCAGAAGCUGUGUAGUUUCUGUAGUUGGCACUCUCACCUACACAGUCUAAUCUCUGAGAGAUCCCUUACCAGAGAUGGCUCCCCCAAGUGCUCUGGCAAAAUCCUCCUGGGCAGGGUGGACACCUCUCCUCUGGCAGGGAAGGUGCCCAGUUGUGUGGAACCGAUAUGGGGUCUGCCCCAGAAUCUGUGUGGCUUCCGCCUGUCCCAGAAACUGUUAGCUUCUGUAGUCCACACUCUCACCUCAGUAUCUGUGUUUUCUGAUGAUCUUAGGCAACCCCUGUGAAAGGGGCAACCCACAGGUUCAGAACCACUAAUCCAGGACAUUCAUAUUGGAUUCCAAAUGACCAAAUAAGGCAGCUUGCAAUUCCUGCAACUCUAGUUCGAAUGGGUCUGAUGCCAUCUUCUGUUUUCCAUGGGCUUCAGCCUGCAUGUAGUGCACCUAAACCCAUGUAGCCUCAUGCACAUACACAUUUUAAAAAGCUGAAAGAGGGAGAAGCAGAGAGACACACAGACAGAGAGACAGAGAGAUCAGAAAUGAUGUCAGUAUUCCUUGUAUUUGAAAUCAAAUAGUAAAAUUUCACACUGAAAUGACUAAUGAUUAAAAUAUAUCUACUAUGUACAGGAGAGGAGAUUACUCAUCAAUUUUACUAAUUUUAGGCAGAGGUAAAACAUUUAUUAAAUAUCUACUGAGUGAGGUAACCCAAUCACAAGAGCACACACAUGAUAUGCACUCACUGAUAAGUGGAUAUUAGCCCAGAAGUUGGGAAUACCCAAGAUACUGUUUGCAAAACACAUGAAACUCAAAAAGGAAGACCAAAGUGUUGAUACUUCGAUCCUUCUUAGAAGGGGGAACAAAAUACACAUGAAAGGAGUUACAGAGACAAAAUUCAGAGCAGAGACUGAAGGAAUGAUCAUCCAGAGACUGCCCCACCUGGGGACCCAUCCCAUAUACAGCCAGCAAACCCAGACACUAUUGUGGAUGCCAACAAAAGCUUGCUGACAGGAGUCUGAUAUAGCUGUCUCCUGAGAGGUUCUUCCAGUGCCUGACAAAUACAAAAGUGGAUGCUCACAGCUAUCCAUUGGACUGAGCACAGGGUCCCCAAGGAAGGAGCUAGAGAAAGGACCCAAGGAGCUGAAAGGGUUUGCAGCCCCAUAGGGGGAAAAACAACAUGAACUAACCACUACCCCCAGAGCUCCCUGGGACUAAACCACCAAUCAAAGAAAACACAUGGUGGAUCUCAUGGCUCUAGCUGCAUAUGUAGCAGAGGAUGGUCUAGUCAGACAUAAAUGGGAGGAGAGGCCCUUGGUUCUGUGAAGGUUCUAUGUCCCAGGAUAGCGGAAUGCCAGGGCCAGGAAGCAUGAGUGGAUGGGUUGGUGAGCAGGGAAAGAGGAGUGAUAGGGUGUUUUCAGAAGGAAAACCAUGAAACAGGAUAGCAUUUGAAAUGUAAAUAAAGAAAAUAUUUAAUAAAAAAAUAGAAGAGUAAAGUUUAGUGUACCAAAGAGAGACCAAAUAAAACUUGCAACUAGCUCCUACUAUAGAUGAAAAGCAUAUUCUUCCUUUUUUUUUGUUUGUUUUUUGUUUUUUUCUUUUUCAAGACAGGGUUUCUCUGUAUAGCCCUGGCUGUCCUGAAACUCACUCUGUAGACAACUCACUCCACCUGCCUCUGCCUCCCAAGUGCUGGGAUUAAAGGCGUGCCCCACCACGCCCGGCAUAUUCUUCCAUUUUUAAAUCCCUUUUCAAUCCAUCUUAAUGAAGAAACCAGUUAGCACAGUACUUACUUUGAAUUAUUUCUUUGCUUCAUGCCAAAGUAUCUAUUCGUGUUUUUCUGUUUAUCUAGCAUGUUUUCCUUUAGAUGUCAGAUUACCGACAGUUAUUGGUUUAUAUUUAAGAACAAGGCAAGAGAAAGUCAGGCUGAGAGAUUGUAAGAUCUGCCUGCAAUGAGCUCUACUUUGUGGAGAGUAAUGCUCUUUCUUUACAGACCAGCCCAGAUUUGUUCUCUUUGGAAUUAGGAGUUGGUGGCUGAAGAGGACAGCCCCGUCAGCAUGAGCCUUCCCUGCUCCCAGGCUCCCUUUCUCUUCUUACCAAGUAUUGAUAUUUGGUUAGCUCGUCUUUUGGCAUUGAGUCAAGCAGCCUGUUUUAUCUUGGUGACAACUCCAAACACAUGCAUUCCAGAUUGUGUUUUGUUCCGUUCCAGUUAAUUUGUAAACACUUCAUCGGGUGCCUGUUAUUCAGCUUUUGUUUUAAUAUUUUUUAUGCCUUUCCCUUACAUGCUGUUAUUGUUUUUAAGAAUUCUUGUUCUUGGUUUUAAUAGUGUUUAAGAGAAGAAAUAAAACAAAUGAUUUUGUAUGAGUCAAUUCUCAAGGAAAAUAUUGCAAAAUGAUUAAAAUAUAUAAUUCUAAAUUCUAAAUAUUGAGUUGAACCACAUUUGUUCAAUAGAUUUAUUCUCUUGAGGGCUUGAUAAAUAACAAUUACUUUGUGUUUAUAACUUAAUGUAAAUAAUAAAAUUAAAAUUUAAUCGCUUAGAAUAUUUUUUGCUUAUUUCUAUUGUGUGAUAUAUUCUUUGUCAUCCAUUCCUAAGUUAACAC